CUUGGUCAUUUAGAGGAAGUAAAAGUCGUAACAAGGUUUCCGUAGGUGAACCUGCGGAAGGAUCAUUACUGAGUGACGUGCGUCCUGGUUGUGGUAGACCAUUUCCUCCCAUCGGAUUUGGUCAGAUGUCGGACCGGCCGGGAUUUGGUCUACCAUGCCUUUCACCAAACAAACCUGUCGUUGUAUGUAUGGCAUCAAAGUAUAUAAAUAUAACUUUCAACAACGGAUCUCUUGGCUCUCGCAUCGAUGAAGAACGCAGCGAAAUGCGAUAAGUAAUGUGAAUUGCAGAAUUCAGUGAAUCAUCGAAUCUUUGAACGCACCUUGCGCUCCUUGGCAUUCCGAGGAGCAUGCCUGUUCGAGCGUCAUUACACCACUCAAGCACCGCUUGGUAUUGGGCACCCGUCCGCCGCAAGGCGGGCGUGCCUCGAAGACCUCGGCGGGGCCUCACCAGCUUCGGGCGUAGUAGAGUUAAAUCAAAACGUCUUAUAAGUCUGGGGAGACUCCAUUGCCGUAAAACCUUUUAUUUUUCAGGUUGACCUCGGAUCAGGUAGGGAUACCCGCUGAACUUAAGCAUAUCAAUAAGCGGAGGA
rnacentral:rRNA from 1 species